GGGGAAGACGACGACGAUGGACUCCUAUGUGACUUCAAGAGGAGGAGAAGAUGAACCGGGUUCAGUUCCUAGGGCUGAGUUGGUUCACGAGGGCCAAGGCGUUGCUCGUGACCUGGGAUACCUCGAGCACCUUCUUCCUGAUGGCUGCCCGCACGGCCGGGCUGGCGUACUGGGAGAGGCCGUCGAGGCACGUCGUCUCGUCGGUGAGCGAGGCGCUGACCCAGGUCCGGACGUUGCUGAGGUGCCAGGCGAACCGGGGGCUCCGCGGCCGCCCCAUCCGCCUCAUCUCCCUGACCGACCGCCUCAGCCGGUCCUCGCUGUCCUGCAUGGUCCCGAU
rnacentral:lncRNA from 1 species